AAGUUUGAGUUCGGGCUCGAACUUGACCCCGAACCCAAUGAGAAACGGCUACCACAUGCAAGGAAAGCAGCAGGCGCGCAAAUUACCUACGCGGGGAGGUAGUGACGACAAAUAAUGGAAUAAAUGUCUAUUCUGCACAAGGUAGGAUCCAUGCCUGGUUUAUUUUAAUAAAUGUGAGCUUGGACAGGCGUCUGCGCUUGUCUGUGAUAACCUUGUGCCGAUCGCACAUCCCCGUGAUGGCGACAACGCAUUUGUAUGUCUGCCCUAUCAACUUUCAAUGCUAUUUUCUGUGCCUACCAUGGUGACCAUGGAUAACGGGGAAUCAGGGUUCGAUUUCAGGGAGGGAGAAUGAGAAACGGCUACCACAUGCAAGGAAAGCA